AUGAAUAUCCUAUCAUGGAACUGCCGGGGAGGGGGGGACCGCCGAACGGUUCGUGAGGUGUUGGCCCUCUCAAAAGCCAAUAACCCCAAGCUAGUCUUUCUUUGUGAGACUAGGCAAGAAGCAGCUAAAGUGGAGUAGUUGAAGUGGAGAUUAGGCCUCAAAGGCUUUCAUGCUGUUAGCAGUGACAGACGAAGUGGUGGCCUUGCUUUGUUUUGGGAGGAGACACUG
rnacentral:rRNA from 1 species